ACGAGCCACUGAACUGUUUGUUGGCCGCUUUAGUCGGACUAAUCUAAUAGCUAACAAAACUAUAAGUUGUAACAGUUACACCCGUCGUGAUGCCAGUUUUCAAAUUGUGUUUCAUUCAACAUGUGCCUUAAAGUGUUUCAUAAGAUUUCGUCGCUCCACAUGCUAACUUUACUUCACUUUAAAUAUAAAGUUUAAAAAUUAUAUGAAAAGUGAAAUUGCAUAAAGCGUUGCAUAUGAAAGGGCGCCGCAAAGGCUUUGAAAUGGCUUUAAAUGGGGUUUUCGGUUUACACGUGAUGCCUACUUAAGCAUUGUCUGUGGCAUCAGCUGCUAAUCGACUACAACAACAAACAUAAAUCAUCAUCAACGGACAACAAACACCCUACAACAGCAGCUGGAAUAGUGUGAGCUGGUAGCUAUUGUGAUUGAGCUGCAAACAAGCGAACGCAUUAAUCAUACGCCGUGUGCGCCAUUUUUGAAGCAGCCCAGUGAGAAGUGUCCUAAAACGAAAUAUGUUUGCGAAAAAGCCGCACAAUGCGCCGCGCACUUGACACGCGUUGAGUUACCGUUAGCCGAGUACAACAGUACAAUACAGUUACGCGUUGUCCAAUUCUCAAUCGAUCGAAUUGCUCCAACUUUAUCUCAAUAAUUUAUUUUGAUUUUCUUUCCGUUCGUUUCGUUCGCUUUGUUUUCUUCAUUCGAUUGAUUUGUGCAUUCGAAGUGCCGCAUGUACGUGUCCGGGCUAAAAACGUUUACGGGCAGCUACAACUGCAACAACAACAGCAACAACAACAAUAUCAAUUAUAAACAGAGAGGCAGCCAAUUUGAUUUGCGGCCAAAAUUUGCUCAAUUAGUGUUUUCCUGUUGGUCAGUGUUAAAAACGUUAACGUUCUUGAUGAAUGUGUUUCGGUUAAAGCCGCUUUAUCGUGCCACUAAAAAGACAACAACAACAACAGCAACACCAAUAUUAACAUCAGCAGUCGUAACACCAACAACAACAACAACAGCCCAAACUAAAAAGCCAAAGAGCAGCAGCAACAAAAACUCUGCCUCCUCCUCCUCCUCCGCUUCUUCAACAACUAGAACAACUUUUGAUAAUAGCAACAACAACAAUCCGCGCACAUACAACAACAGCAGCAAAUCGAAUAAAGUGUUUCUACAUUAUAUACCACGCGAUCCGCGUCUAAGAAUUUUCAAUAGAACCGCCACGCUGUAUAAACACUUGGCCCAACCCAAACGCACUUUAAGUGAAUUGAAUAUAACUGAAGAUCUGUGUAAUUAUGGUGAAUUAAUUGGCGGCCCUGGUAGUGCAAGUGACAACAACAACAACUAUAACAAUUACAAUCAGCAACAAUAUUAUUAUAGCAACAACAAUAAUCAACAGUUGAAAUUUCAAGGCUAACUAUUCAAGUUUCCAAACAAUAAAUAAAUAAAUAAAACAAAAAGAAAGCGAAAGGAAAAGAAAUUUUCGAGUGCACAGAAAAUUUUUCGAUUCAUUCUUGGAAAAACUUGAGACGCGCCGAGUUUGCUUAGGCAAACAUACAGUGUGAGGAGUUGAAGAGAGUUGAUAUUUUGGAAUUGGGGAUUCAGGCGAAGCGUAAGCAAUACAAAUCCAAAUCCAAAACCACCUACAGCUACAGCUACUUAAUAAAUAAUAUAGAAAUUCUUGCUGAAAUCUAUGUAACGGUGUUCACAAUUAAUUGCAACAACAAGUGCAAAUUUUUACGAGCUGCUUUUAAACAACCAAAUUAUAGUAAAUAUAAUAAAACGAAAUAUUGCAAGUGAGAGGUUAUUCAAUUAGAGCCCAAGACAAGAUGGCCAAGCCAUCAGCAACACGGAGUGACAGCAGCAACAACUGCAAGAAUCAACGCAGUGGCAACGGCAG
rnacentral:sRNA from 1 species